CAGGGGGGGGCCUAUACUGCAGUCGAGCGACUGAUUAGAAGCUUGCUUCUAUGACGUUAGCGGCGGACGGGUGAGUAACACGUGGGCAACCUGCCUGUAAGACUGGGAUAACUUCGGGAAACCGAAGCUAAUACCGGAUAGGAUCUUCUCCUUCAUGGGAGAUGAUUGAAAGAUGGUUUCGGCUAUCACUUACAGAUGGGCCCGCGGUGCAUUAGCUAGUUGGUGAGGUAACGGCUCACCAAGGCAACGAUGCAUAGCCGACCUGAGAGGGUGAUCGGCCACACUGGGACUGAGACACGGCCCAGACUCCUACGGGAGGCAGCAGUAGGGAAUCUUCCGCAAUGGACGAAAGUCUGACGGAGCAACGCCGCGUGAGUGAUGAAGGCUUUCGGGUCGUAAAACUCUGUUGUUAGGGAAGAACAAGUACGAGAGUAACUGCUCGUACCUUGACGGUACCUAACCAGAAAGCCACGGCUAACUACGUGCCAGCAGCCGCGGUAAUACGUAGGUGGCAAGCGUUAUCCGGAAUUAUUGGGCGUAAAGCGCGCGCAGGCGGUUUCUUAAGUCUGAUGUGAAAGCCCACGGCUCAACCGUGGAGGGUCAUUGGAAACUGGGGAACUUGAGUGCAGAAGAGAAAAGCGGAAUUCCACGUGUAGCGGUGAAAUGCGUAGAGAUGUGGAGGAACACCAGUGGCGAAGGCGGCUUUUUGGUCUGUAACUGACGCUGAGGCGCGAAAGCGUGGGGAGCAAACAGGAUUAGAUACCCUGGUAGUCCACGCCGUAAACGAUGAGUGCUAAGUGUUAGAGGGUUUCCGCCCUUUAGUGCUGCAGCUAACGCAUUAAGCACUCCGCCUGGGGGAGUACGGGCGCAAGAAUUGAAACUCAAAGGGAAUUGACGGGGGGCCCCGNACAAGCGGGGGGAGCUUGGGGGUUUAAAUUUCAAAGCAACCUGGAAAGAACCUUCACCCGGGUCUUGGAAAUUCCUUUUGAAAAACCUUUAAAAAAAUAAAACCGGUUCCCCUUUUUGGGGGGAAAAAAGGGAUACGGGGGUGUUCCAUGGGUUUUUCCUUCCAGGUCCCUGGGCCCGAUGGAUUAGUUUAGGGUUUNNAAUUCCCUCGACAUACAUGACUGAACACCUCUUUGGUACUUAUUAAUUUGCUCACGGUAUUUUUUUUUUUGGGGUUAUCUCA
rnacentral:rRNA from 1 species